CUGAACGCCUCUAAGCCAGAAUCCGUGCUAGAAACGAUGAUGUUAGUCCCGCAAAUCUUAGUCGAGUAAAGAUAGAGCUUCGGCUCGUAAACCAUAGUUGACUGGUCUCGUUCAGUCAGGCGGAAAGGCCUGGCUGUUCUACCGGUGAAUAGCAUUCGAAAUAUUUGCGGGGGUGAAUCCUUUGCAGACGACUUGAAUAGAACGGAGUGCUGUACGCAGUAGAGUA
rnacentral:rRNA from 1 species